UAAUAAGUGUUUUAUGGCACUUUUUAAAUCCAUAUCCACCUUGUGUGCAAUGUCAGUCGAUCUUCUUUCAUGGAGAUCGACCAAACAUCAACCUUUAUCUUUUAACUCUUUGUCUGAAGAAUAUUAUGAAUAAACAAUUCAAAAUA
rnacentral:misc_RNA from 1 species